AUAUCAAUAAGCGGAGGAAAAGAAACCAACCGGGAUUGCCUCAGUAACGGCGAGUGAAGCGGCAAAAGCUCAAAUUUGAAAUCUCCGUAAGGCGAGUUGUAAUUUGAAGAGGGUACUUUGGGGCGGCGCCUUGUCUAUGUUCCUUGGAACAGGACGUCACAGAGGGUGAGAAUCCCGUGCGAUGAGGAGAGCCGUUCUAUGUAAAGUUCCUUCGACGAGUCGAGUUGUUUGGGAAUGCAGCUCUAAGUGGGUGGUAAAUUCCAUCUAAAGCUAAAUAUUGGCGAGAGACCGAUAGCGAACAAGUACAGUGAUGGAAAGAUGAAAAGCACUUUGAAAAGAGAGUGAAAAAGUACGUGAAAUUGUUGAAAGGGAAGGGCUUGAGAUCAGACUUGGUGACUCGUCACUGGGCCAGCAUCGGUUCGGGCGGCAGGAGAAUGCCGCGGGAAAGUGGCUCUUCUUCGGGAGAGUGUUAUAGCCCGCGGAGAUACUGCCUGCGUGGACCGAGGACUGCGGCAACUAGGAUGCUGGCAUAAUGAUCUUAAGCCGC
rnacentral:rRNA from 1 species